GCAGUGGACCCCGUUCCUCUUCGACUUCUACCACUACUUCUACAUGCUCAGCAACGCGCUCUUCUACGUCAGCUCCGCCAUCAACCCGGUCCUCUACAACCUCGUCUCCGCCAGCUUCCGCCAGGCCUUCCUGGCCACCCUGGCCUGCCUCUGUCCCCUGUGGGGGCGCCGGAGGAAGAGGCCAGCCCUCUCCAGGAAGACCAACAGCGUGUCCAGCAACCACCCCUUCUCCAGCAACGUCCCCCGGGAAACGCUGUACUAGGGUGGGGGGGCACUCAGAGAGGGGCUGCCGCUGGCCUCCAGCCGGCCUGGGAGCUGCUCCUCUCUCCCCCCCCUCACCUCCCCUGCGCCCGCCUCGCUCUCCCCUUUGAAAGCCAGAGACAGCUCGAGCCUCCCAGACCGAAAAGGGCCUUAAUGGGGAGAACUCAGUGUCAGGUGAAAGGCAGUCGUCUUUGUUCUCAGACUAAUGGAUGUUUAGACAGAAAAGGACGGAAAGCAGCAGGUCGGGCCGGGCCCGGGGCAGCCGGGCAGCCGUCAGGAGGGGGCGACCCUGGGANNNNNNNNNNNNNNNNNNNNNNNNNNNNNNNNNNNNNNNNNNNNNNNNNNNNNNNNNNNNNNNNNNNNNNNNNNNNNNNNNNNNNNNNNNNNNNNNNNNNNNNNNNNNNNNNNNNNNNNNNNNNNNNNNNNNNCUGUCCUGGCACCAGAGGGCCUCCGUCGCGCCUCCAGGCACUCAGGACCCCGUGGGCCGCUCUCCAGCUCUGCCAGGGCAGGUCCUAGGAAGCUUUGAUGUGGCAAGAGGACAGUGAGGGGUCAGCCCGGCCCCGGGCCGCCCCCUCCCCGCCGCUCCUCCCCAGGCCAAGGCAGCCAGGCUCUGCACAGAUGCCACUGCAGGGCCGUUCGGCCGAGAAGCCCUCCAUCCCGGCUCUGCGGACACAAGGCCAGGUCAGCAGGGUCCUGGUGGCCAGACCAGUGACAUCCCACGUGCUCUCACUCCCCCUGUCCGGCUGAGCUCCUGCCGCUGCAGUGGAUGCCCUGCAGUAGAGGGGAGUCACGAGAGAUGCCAGCUGUGGGGCCUGGGCUGCAGGCGAGAAGGAGGCACUCUGGGCACCCAGAAGGGCAGAUGCCCCCUUGAACUCUGGGGGCUGGUCUCCAGACAGGAUGGCCCCGGGAAGGCAGGUCCCUGGGGAGCUGCCCCAGACCAGCUGCGACACUGCGUGGCCGGAGCCAGAAGUGAGACGCAGACCUUUUAAACAGGUCCUCCCUGGGCCUGGGGCAGGCCCGCCAGAAGGGAGACAGGCGGGCAGACGGGCAGAGGACCUGCGUGGAUGGCGAUGACCUGGGCCUAGUCUGGGGUCGGCCAGGACUCAGUCCCCCACCCAGGAUGCUACAGCAUCCGUGGUCCAUGGUCACUUCGGAUCUGGGCCCUGAUGUGAACACUAUGUGACUUGCAUCCCCAAAGUCCUCCUCCAGGCUGUUCACCAAGAACGGGGCAGGCAGUCUGACCCUGACCCCGUGGCUGCAGCACGGGGCUGAGGUCACUCAGAGCUCCCCAUGAGCUUCGGCUCUGGGUGGGAGAGCAGGAGCCCAGCGGAGAGGCUGAGGUCAGCCAGCCCUGGCCCUCAGGACCGCCCUGCCAUCCCUGGACCCCGGGCACAGUGCGAUUCCCACGCGCCUCGGUUUCCCCAGGCACCCGAGAUGUAGGCGUGGUCACUACACCCACUCAGCCAGGCCUGGACGUGGCGGCCCCGGAGGUGGGGGCAGAGUGGACGUGGGGCGAGAUGCCCGCCACCCAGACCCUCCUGUCGGCCCACUUCACAUCAGUGGGGACCCAUGUCUACGCCCUGCCGGACCCCCCCAAGCCUCCCCAGCUCUGGCUGCAUCUCCCUGGAACCCCAGAGGCCGGCUCUGUGUGCCGUGUGUGUCUGGUCUCAGGGUCCAGCGCCCGUGUGGCUGGUCAGCAGUGAUGCCGAAACCCCGUGAUGUACACUGACCCCAGCGGCGCACACGUCCCGCAGCGACACUCAGUAAAGGAAUAAAGGCGACUGGACCCAGCUCCCCAGGAGGCCACGGGCCGCAUGCAGCCGUCACUCAGCAGACAGCCCUCUCCCGGCCCCUUUGCCAACACGCAUGCGCUCUGCCCCGUUUCCCGGGGACCGGGCAGGAUGCGCCAGCUCAGGCCCUGCCCCCCUGAGCUUUGAGAAGCAGCUGGUGCAGGACUCGGGGUCCCAGGGCUCAGGGUCCUGAUCUGUGGCCUAGGCACGGGCAAGGCCCAGUGAAGGUGGGGACCAGGGUCCUGUGACUCUGGGGCGUCCCCUCCCACCAGCCCAAGGAGCUGAAGGGCCCCGGAGGCCAACAGGUGGGGAGCCGGGCCAGGGAGGGCCGUCAGCCUGUCCUCCCACCCAGCGGCCCUGUCUGGAAUCUCCCACCAGCAGGAGAGGCGUCACGGCCCCCUCCUUCCCCCGCCCCAUCUCGACGCAGCAGUGUCCGUGGUGGAUCCAGCCGGGGGACAUAAGGAAAGCACCUUUCCAGGUUGCAGGCUUCCCCCCGCCCCCCCCUUCCCCACCUGCCAGGGUCCCCACAAGGCCUGGCUUCCUCGAAGCUGCCCCAUCCUGAUUGGCACAGGCCUGAGGUGCGAGGCCCAAGGCCUUCGGAGUCACCGCCCCCCCAUCAGCAAGGAAGGGACUCCCACUCACCCUGAGGCAUAAGGGAUUCACGGGCAGGCCCCAGUAGGUACACUGGCGGUUUAUAAGACUAUCCAAAGGAAUGAAGCUCUAACCGUGGGAUUUCAGGCCAGCCCAGGAGGGAAAUCUUUGGGGACCGUGGCAGGAAGUCCGGGGGCCCGUGGCAGGAAGCCCCAACCCGCAGCCACACCUCAAGGCACCAUCCCGUGAGGCCAGAGCUCUGAGGCCCCCGCCCUGCCGCCUGCAGGCUCUCUGAGCGCUGGUCCCUCUUCCAGCCCCAGACAGGGGAGAACCACACUCCCGCAGCAAGGCCCCUCUGGCCCGUCCCUGUCAUCGCUGUCGCUAAGCAACAGGAGGGCUUUGGAGAGAAUUCCAUACAUUUUUAAAUACAUUUGAAGAGCGAAACAGC
rnacentral:lncRNA from 1 species